GAUAAUUUAAUUGUGAUAAGAUUAAUGAACGAAUAUAAACAUACAAUUACAAAAGUUUUGUCGAAAAAUUAGGAAAAAAAAAUCAAAAAAGUUUCCACGUUUGAUAAAAAAAAAAAAUCGAAACAAAUUCAAUAUAGCUACCUUCAAACUCUUAUUACAUAAGAACGCCGCAAAUAAUUUUAAGGUUUAUGACCUUAAAAUGUAGCUUAGAUUGUACAAAUGAUUUUUGUUUUUUUUUUCAAAGAGACAUACGAAAUAUACGAAACAUACAAAAGUAACGAGUAACGAUAUUACUGAUGCGGGUACUAGUAUCAAAAGUAACGUAUACAUGCGGGUACUCAUUUUUGUCGUUACUUUUACAGCCCUAAUUGGGCCUAUUCUGCGAGAUCUUUUACUCUGCUAUUCUGUUAUGAAUUUCCAUACAAAAAUCAAAUCUGUCAAAAAAUCUUUUAUGAUUUUCAUAUUUGGUAUUCGACAUACCCAAUCUGCUAUGAAAUCUUUUAUAAAAUCUUUUACGAAGUUCGAACUGUCAAAAAUUCUUUUACGAAUCUCAUUUUUGGUAUUCAGCAAGCCUUAAUCUGUUAUGAAAUCUUUUAUGAAUCAUAAAAGAAUAAAAGACAGAUUUUUGUUGCUUUUAUCAUAAAAGAUUUCAUGAAAGUAGCAAAUUUUCAAUAAAAGUACCUAGGUGCUUUUUUUAUAUUUAGCUUUGUUUUAUAAAUAACUGAGACGUAGAUACGACAAGUGACUAGGACUAGGACAAAUCUAAUGCAAAACUAAAAGAAUCAACAAAACACCAAGAUCACUUCACCCACUAUUCCGUCUUCAAUCAAGCAACUACUGCCACAAGGAACGGUCGUCCUUGCCUCGACGUGUAGUUGCAAUCAUCUACAAGAACUACCACCUCCUUUCAAGAACUUUUUCACUUGAUAUAAAUGAAAUUAAGAAACACCAUGUUUAUUUAAAUUAUAAUUUAUUUCAUAAAUAAAAGAAAACACAUAUUUUCCAAAAAAAAUAGGGAAGUUAACAAUUGCAUUUAAAAUGUUGCAAUCUUCUCUGAGCACUUUGUCCAAUGUCCAUAAAAUAGGGUUGGUUUUGUAGCGGUGAGGUAUCUGCUCCAGAUUGUAAAUAUUUUGCGAAAGGCAAGAUGCACGCGAAUCUAUUUAUUUACUUUAAUUUUAUAGGAAGAAACACAAUUUUGCUGAAAAAUCUACGAGAAAAUUCAAUUCACUUUACUUUCCACAUUUUGAUUUGUUUUUUUUUUUUCUGUCUUUGGGAAUGACAGAUGAUAAAAGAAUUUAGUUCCGUUUGCUUUGUUUAUAGCAGAUUUUCCUUUUCGAAGUUUCAUAACAGAAUUCUAUAAAAGUUCGAACUCCUGAAUACCAAUUAUAAAAGAUCUUUUAAGGUUGAGAUCUUUUAACAUUCAUAACAGAAAAUUCAUAGCAGAAUAAAAGUUUUGGCAGAAUGGGCCCAAAUGCAGAGAUACCCAAAGGAGAUGGGAAACUUUCGUACGUUUUACCCCCCAAAACCCAUUUGUUUAUUUCGUGUUGUUGUAAUCUCUUUUGUAUUCGUGAAUAAAUGUGAAAAACACACAUAGUGUAGCCACGGUGUUUUUACGCACACCUAAGCAAAAAUCUACGAUUUUUCACGUAUACUUAGCCAAAAAUGUAUAUUUUUUCACGCAUACUUAUCCAAAAAUGUCUAAAGCAGCUUGUAGGCAAACCCGUAUGACGUCAGAAGCAGGGUUCGGACUUUACUUCGAUCGAAGUAGAUUUACUUCGAUUUUGGGAAAAAAAUAAAAUCUACUUCCCUACUUCUCUUUUUCAGGAUCUACUUCUAUUUCUUGAUUGAAAAAUAUUUUUCAAAUAAUAAAUUUAGAGAAAGGGAUUUAACUUCAAUUUUAAAUCUGGUCGAGGCAUUGAGAAAUAAAGCUCAACUGAAAUCUCAAAAGAUGAAUGGAGGUCAAUUAUUCUUCGAAUUCAAGAUAUAAAUAAAGUUUAUCAAAGUAAUUUUGACUGAUUUUGGAGAAUUCCUGAUCAAAAAUUUGUUAGAUUAUGCUGAAUUAACCGUUUUACCCCAAAGCACCGUUACAACCACUAGAUGAGAAAGGUUUUUUGGAAAAGAUCAUAAUAAAAAAAGUAAAGAAAAAUAAUUUUGUUGAAAAAUAAUUUUUUUAGAAUAAAUUUUUGUAAAUAAAUGUUCUGAAAGUUUAAUUUUGAAAUCUACUUCCGAAAUUUGGGAUCUACUUCACUUUUUUUUCAAAUUUGCUUCGAAAUUUUGAAACUGAAGUCCGAACCCUGGUCAGAAGUUUCUCAUCUCUUUUGGGUAUCUCUGCCCAAAUGACUACAUGAAGUAGGUCAGUCUAUUUCUUGAAAAAUGGAGGGGAGGAAAAUUUUCUUGCAACCUCCACGUGCAAAUAUCUUCCGAACAUGCGCUGUAAACUUCAUUGAAAACAACAAAUAAAUUAAAAUGAGACAUUUAUUCAUUUCGCCGAUUACUGACUCCACCAUUAAAUCUUAAUUAAUUUAAUUUCCAAGUAAAUUGGCGUUAAAACAUGAGUAGUAGUCGAAAUAGUCUUUUGGAGUUGAUGAAAGCCACUGAACUACCUGCAACUUUCUAAAACUAAUAAAAAUAACAAAAGCAGAAUGAUAUACUACCAUGAAGGGGGCAUUAAAUCCCCAAAUUAUAUAUUUUAUAAAUAUAUUCACUUACCAUUCAAAUGCACGUUAUGUAAAACAAUAAUUUAGUGUCUUUUCAAUUCAUAUCUUUAAUGGCGUACAAUUUCAAAAUCCUUGAAAUAUGUAUAAUAGAAAUUAAUUUACACAAAACAGAUUUAACAAUUAACAAUUUAAAAAUCAAAAAUAUACAAAUUUAAAUCGAAAUGUGUAUAUACUUCCAAUUCGGAUUUGGUGACGAAGUGUGAAAUCACUCGAUAGUCGAUAUACAGAUAUGCGGUUGUUUUGUUUUGUGUACAUUUCUAAAAUGUAUUUUUUAUAUAUGUAUAUAUAUAUGGCAUUAAAUGAAGAAGAAUGCCCAUCAAAAUUUUUUUGUUGUUGAUUAAUAAGAAAACAGAAAGGAGACAACAAAACAAAUUCGAAGAAAAUUGUCAAAAAAAAAAAAGUAAACAAAAGUCAUCGACAAACUAUAUCAAGACUGGAAACUUUCGUACAUCUUAGAGCCCCCGCACACUACAAACUUUCUAUCGGCCGACAGUUUAGUCGAUCUCUUAAGCAGUAUCAAAAUGUAUGAAAGUGCGCACACUACAACGAUUAAGUAUCGGCCGAUCAAAAAGUUUGUUUUGCUACACAAUUGCCUUCAAACUAAAAUAUUUCAUACCCAGCCGACUAUUUAGUUUUUAGUCGCCUGCCUGUGCGCACACUAGGAGCCCAACCCGACUAAACUAUCUGCCGAUAGAAAGUCUGUAGUGUGCGAGGGCUCUUACGUCUUACCCCUCAAACCUCUUGUUUACAGUAAGUCUGUUCAGCGAGGAUUUUUCUAGAUCAGAACAGGACAGGACAGCACAGUUUCGUGAGAAACGUCAGCUCAAGUUAGAACAGUCAUUUAAACGUCAGUUGUCAAAAUAAAAAAAAAAAAAAACAAAUUGUAAAUUAUAUCAAUUUUUU